rnacentral:rRNA from 1 species
GACGUUGAUAGGCUGGGUGUGUAAGCGCAGCGAUGCGUUGAGCUAACCGGUACUAAUGAACCGUGAGGCUUAACCUUACAACGCCGAAG